rnacentral:lncRNA from 1 species
UUACAAACCUGAAGUCAUUUUAUUAAAAAAAAUUGUUCAUAUAGAAAUCUAUCAGUAAUUCUAGUUUCUGUAAAAAUUGCUCUCUCUCACGCAUUCUAAUGCUGAUACGCAUUUCUGCAAUGGCCAUCGUUUAUUCCACACCUCCAUCUCUUUAACGACACUCUGAAACAGUGAGCUUUGACUUGAGAUUAAUCCCGACUAACCAAACAAGGAGCCAGAGAUUCGAGACUAAAAAGUUCCAAUGUUUUUCUCUGAAAUUCCAAAAACGCAGCCGGCGCAUAAGUUAAAGUCAGAAGCAUUGUGGUGACCUGCUUGAAGUAUUUCUGUUACCUCCGUUAGAGCGUUUUGCAGCAAAUGUAUGUGUUAUCUUCAGUCGUGAAACAAUGUGCGUUGCUUCCAGCCUGCGAGCCUAGUGCCUUCUUGUUCCUUUUGUGCAGGGAAUAAAUCGUUGUUGUGAACAACAUUGCCGAACACCUCGAUGUUAUAACCUCGAAGUUGUUGUUUUCGUCGCUGUAACAGAAUCCUUCUGCGAUUAAGAUCGUGGCAUCACGAACUUCAACUGAAUACUUCAGCGUAACGAUCUGAUAUAUUCUACUUGAGUUCAACUAUCUAAUUAUGAACCAAUCUAUCAAGCGUAAGAACAUAGUCAUGUGAUAUUGGUUUAGGAAUUAAUGAAUUUAAUUAUUUGUCCAUUUGCUUGAGGAAGAAAUGAUACACAAGCUACUGAGAACACCUGGAUGUCCAAGCAUGCCUCAGCUGCCAUCUCGUCGGUCAGCCAUCGAGGAGCGUUUCCUUUUCAGCUGAUGCGAUGAGGCUUAUAGAGAACCUUCUGUUAGUUCUCGACUUUGAUGCUUGUUAUGAUUAUUUCCUUCUAUCCUCGAUGAGUAGAGCCGCUCUAAUUGGACAGAGUUACGUUUGGUAUCUCAAUAGACUGGCCAAUUCAAUGCACACUGCACAAGUACGCCCAAAUUUCCCUUGACCUGAGAUUCUCAACUGAAUCACGAAAGGUAGCGAUUCAGAUAAAUCUACACCGUUUCAUUCAUGUCUUUCGUCAUUCAACCAUCAAGCUCGUUUGCAUUUGAUUCAUUUUAUUGUUGAGACUUGAAAGUUAAGCCGUUUGAAGGAACAAAGUAACUGCCUUGUUAACUAUAAAAGUGACAUAAUUACAUCAAUUUCAGUUUCGGUAGCUUAUUUCUACACUAGAAGAAGACCCUGUGAGUCUUGCACUCCAUGGAACGCCACUGGUCUAUAGCCACAACCUUGAAGAAGAAAUUCUGCGUGCGAGACAGGACUACAAUCGUCCGAAGAAUCUUUUUUUGCACUUCGAGAUUAAGGAAAAUCCCAUGGUGAAGCUGGACGGAUAAGAACAGUAUCCGAGAUGGCAAGGAUAUUUGCUGCAGUUUUAACUAUUGCCAGCAUCAUCGGCAAGGACGUACUACCACUUGCCCUUGCACAGCAGGAAGGGUUUGCAACACAGAGAGAAUAUGAUCGAAUGUUUAGGAACGAUGUGAAAGCCACAGGCAAGACAAAUUUGCACACUUAAUACUACACUCGAUGUGAUCGCAGGAGAAGAUGAGAGCUAGGUUGAGCUUGACCUGCGAAUGUAAGCAUAUUCUUUGUAACUUGAAGUCGUGCGUAUUGAAGUUGAGUGACAGUAGACGAUUGCAAUUGCAGGUGUUCAGAGACGAACCGAGUGGCCGGAAUUGCUGCAUAAAAAUAUGUCCGCUGUUUGGGCCCUCUUCUG